UUGCACUUUAGCCUGAUGUUCUAUAAGAGUUUUAAACCUCGUGUUUUGUUGUUUCUGUUGCUAUAUUAAUGGGAAGAACGGAGCUGCUUCUUCUGAGACAUCAGUGAGACGCUGAUCUGGUUUCGCUGCUUUGAUUUCAAGAACAAGCGUGGGGAGAUCCAUCUUCACAGUUGUAGGCGGUUGGAAACAGUUUAGAGCAGAGUCGGCCAGCUCAGGAUGCUCAGGUUGGACGUGGACCCAAAAGUCCGUCAAAGAUUUCUCUGUAAAAGUCAUCUUCAGCUCUCCGUCUGAGGCCGUUUCCUCAAGGCUAACCUCUCUCUGAACGCUUGGAACUGACAUGUUGGAUGUGCGUUUUGUCUCCAAAUGGAGUUCUGAUCCACUCAAAGCCUACACGUCCAGUUCUGGGAAAUAUCUUCCCGAUUGCGAGUGAAGGCCUUGGAGAUGUUCCUCGAAGGCUGCAACUGUAUCGUCAUCCAACUCCUUCACUCCGGCAGUGAAGAGAACGACCGUGAGCGAAGGGACACAACCGGAUUCUUGAGGUUUUGAGACGGGAACACCACAGUUCCAUCUUGAUCGUUAUCCCGGACGGUAAAGAUGCUGGCGGCUUUUCCUCGCGGCGCUGAACUCAACGCGUGGAGAGCGAUGGAAACAUCAGCCAGGUCCGGACGCCACUACUCUGUCCUGCUGUAAACACCCAGAUGUUUUAGCGCGGAACGUAAACGUGGUGGACGCAGUGUUUACAGGACGGGAUGGACAGUAAUUACACACCGGAGAUUUCAGUGGUGUGUGUCUUACAGCUGCGAGUGAAACACAACACACACACACACACACACACACACACACACACACACACACACACACACACACACAUUACCAUUCAGAGCAAAUCCCGUUCCUCCAGCAGCGUCCUGGUUCCUCACAUACGCCUGAAAUAGCGAGGUUUUAAUGUUAUAAAUAGCGUUUAUAAACACACACGGAGUUAUUACUGUAAUUAACCUGAACUGGGACAGCGUGUGUGAGUAAACAUAAACUUCUACUUUCUUAAUGGUU